CCUACGGGAGGCAGCAGUGGGGAAUCUUGCGCAAUGGGCGAAAGCCUGACGCAGCGACGCCGCGUGGGCGAAGACGGCCUUCGGGUUGUAAAGCUCCUUUGUCAGGGAAGAAACGGCUGAGGAUAAUACCUUUGGCUAAUGACGGUACCUAACCAGAAAGCCACGGCUAACUACGUGCCAGCAGCCGCGGUAAUACGUAGGUGGCAAGCGUUGUCCGGAAUUAUUGGGCGUAAAGCGCGCGCAGGCGGUCCUUUAAGUCUGAUGUGAAAGCCCACGGCUCAACCGUGGAGGGUCAUUGGAAACUGGGGGACUUGAGUACAGAAGAGGAAAGUGGAAUUCCACGUGUAGCGGUGAAAUGCGUAGAGAUGUGGAGGAACACCAGUGGCGAAGGCGACUUUCUGGUCUGUAACUGACGCUGAGGCGCGAAAGCGUGGGGAGCAAACAGGAUUAGAUACCCUGGUAGUCCACGCUGUAAACGAUGAGUGCUAAGUGUUAGAGGGUUUCCGCCCUUUAGUGCUGAAGUUAACGCAUUAAGCACUCCGCCUGGGGAGUACGGUCGCAAGACUGAAACUCAAAGGAAUUGACGG
rnacentral:rRNA from 1 species